GGAAAUGUGACUCAGUGGUUAAGAGCACUGACUGCUCUUCCAGAGGACCUGGGUUCAAUUCCCAGCACCCA
rnacentral:tRNA from 1 species